AGUAAUGCCUAGGAAUCUGCCUGGUAGUGGGGGAUAACGUUCGGAAACGAACGCUAAUACCGCAUACGUCCUACGGGAGAAAGCAGGGGACCUUCGGGCCUUGCGCUAUCAGAUGAGCCUAGGUCGGAUUAGCUAGUUGGUGAGGUAAUGGCUCACCAAGGCGACGAUCCGUAACUGGUCUGAGAGGAUGAUCAGUCACACUGGAACUGAGACACGGUCCAGACUCCUACGGGAGGCAGCAGUGGGGAAUAUUGGACAAUGGGCGAAAGCCUGAUCCAGCCAUGCCGCGUGUGUGAAGAAGGUCUUCGGAUUGUAAAGCACUUUAAGUUGGGAGGAAGGGCCAUUACCUAAUACGUGAUGGUUUUGACGUUACCGACAGAAUAAGCACCGGCUAACUCUGUGCCAGCAGCCGCGGUAAUACAGAGGGUGCAAGCGUUAAUCGGAAUUACUGGGCGUAAAGCGCGCGUAGGUGGUUCGUUAAGUUGGAUGUGAAAUCCGCGGGCUCAACCUGGGAACUGCAUUCAAAACUGUCGAGCUAGAGUAUGGUAGAGGGUGGUGGAAUUUCCCUGUGUAGCGGUGAAAUGCGUAGAUAUAGGAAGGAACACCAGUGGCGAAGGCGACCACCUGGACUGAUACUGACACUGAGGUGCGAAAGCGUGGAGAGCAAACAGGAUUAGAUACCCUGGUAGUCCACGCCGUAAACGAUGUCAACUAGCCGUUGGGAGCCUUGAGCUCUUAGUGGCGCAGCUAACGCAUUAAGUUGACCGCCUGGGGAGUACGGCCGCAAGGUUAAAACUCAAAUGAAUUGACGGGGGCCCGCACACGCGGUGGAGCAUGUGGUUUAAUUCGAAGCAACGCGAAGAACCUUACCAGGCCUUGACAUCCAAUGAACUUUCCAGAGAUGGAUUGGUGCCUUCGGGAACAUUGAGACAGGUGCUGCAUGGCUGUCGUCAGCUCGUGUCCUGAGAUGUUGGGUUAAGUCCCGUAACGAGCGCAACCCUUGUCCUUAGUUACCAGCACGUAAUGGUGGGCACUCUAAGGAGACUGCCGGUGACAAACCGGAGGAAGGUGGGGAUGACGUCAAGUCAUCAUGGCCCUUACGGCCUGGGCUACACACGUGCUACAAUGGUCGGUACAGAGGGUUGCCAAGCCGCGAGGUGGAGCUAAUCCCAUAAAACCGAUCGUAGUCCGGAUCGCAGUCUGCAACUCGACUGCGUG
rnacentral:rRNA from 1 species